rnacentral:lncRNA from 1 species
UAUGUGAAAUCUAAAAUACAACACAAAUCAACAUAUCUAUGAAACAAAAACAGACCCAGAGAUAUAUAGAUAACAGAUUUGCAGUUGUCAAGGCAGAUGAGGAGAGGACUGGGAGUUUGAUAUUAGUAGAGGAAACUAUUAUAUAUAGUAUGGAUAAACAACAGGGUGCUACUGUAUAACACGGAGAACUAUAUUCAUUAUCCUGUGAUAAAACAUUAUGGAAAAUAGUAAGAAAAGGAGUGCAUAACUGAGUCACUUUUUUAUACAGCAGAAAUCAAUACAAUGUUAUAAGUCAACAAUACUUCAAUAAUUUUUUUCAUAAAAAGACAGAAGCCAGGUCUCCCAGCAGACAUAUGUGUCCCCUAAGUCAUUUAACUUCUUGGAGAUGUAGUUCUUCAUUUGUAAAAUGCAGGCACUGAUACACCUUCAACUGUGAACCAAACCUAACAUAUACAUGAGGAGUUUCACUCUUGUCCGAGUGAUAGUGGAAGACAAUUUCCCUGUUUGAACAAAGGUGUUAGAAGGCAUAUGAUAUUUAAGUACUAAAAAUCAAGUUUUACCAUCAGUUUAGUUGGACAAACAAAAUAAAAACAAGCACAACUAUGUCUCAAUCAAAAGAUGUAAGAAGUAAAUAUGAUUUUACAUGACAAAAUGUCAACUCUAUAACAUAUUUCCAAUAAUUCUGACAUUAUCUUUUGAAAAAUUUCCCAAAAUUCUGAGAAAAAUGACGAACUGGAGGUUUACUCUAAAGUUAGAUUGCUGUUUUAUUAUCUAGUUUUAUGUGCAUUUGAAACUGAAGACUUUAUACAUGACCAAGAUGUUUGAUGUUAACCCUGAAAUUCUUUCCUCCACAUCUCUAGGCUACCGGCACCCCCUCUACAUCUACCUGCUCAGACAGUUUAAACAUGGAGACUACACCCAAGGUAGAAUUACAAAGAAGACAACAUUUGUGGUAACAUCAAUACGAUUUCUGAUUUAUGUGCAUAAAGUAUAAAAGCUUAUCAUAUUAAAAAGCAACAAAUCAGAAUUUGGAUUCAUCCAACCCAGAUGCAGCAUCUUCAUAAUCUGAAAACAAGGGGAGAAAACGUAAUUAGCAAAUACAUUUAUUUUAUUUGAAUUACAGAUAGCACCACCAAUUUAUCUAACCUGUGCUGUAGGAAUCACUGUGGGUCAAAGAAGUAGCUGCAAGCCACCUUCCAGACCCCUUACAGACCCCUUCCAUACCCAGUUAGUUUAUCCCACUGGUUCUCCCACAACCUUAGAGGAAAGAAUGCUGGUAUUAGAGAUUAGAUCCUGGCUCUACCAUUUAGAAACUGUGUCUCUCUGGGAAGGGCACCCAAACUCUCUGAUGUUCCUCACAUUGAUCGGCCAGGCCCAGGAUGUAACAGGAAAUCUGAACAGGUUUUCAGUGCCAAGGUUCCCUGUGGAGUAGAAUUUCCCAGAAAAGCUGGAUUAUCCCCCUGUAAACUCCAAACGAAGACACAAAAGACGUGUCCAAUGAAUGCCUCCGUGCUUCAUGCAGUUAGAGCUACUUGCAGGAAACAUCGGCUGCAGUAUCUUUAUACUGAGUUACAACAGUCUGUUUCCAUUUCUCUCCUGUACUGGACUGAGAGCCUCCAGAAGCAAACAUAGUGCCCACACUGCUGAGAAAUGGUACGUCUACAGAACCAGGUCCCUCCUGGCUUGUGGCUGAAUAACAAAGCAACUGCCAUGCAAAGGAAAGGACGGUUCCCUCUUGAAGGCCCAGAGAUGCCCAGUGUAGAAAUGGCAGAAGAAAGAGCAAACCCUUGCGAGUGCUGUGGGUAAAUGCUGCCUCUGCCCUGUCACAGCAGCCCUGC